rnacentral:rRNA from 1 species
CCUACGAGAGGCAGCAGUAGGGAAUCUUUCACAAUGGGCGAAAGCCUGAUGGAGCAACGCCGCGUGCAGGAUGAAGGCCUUCGGGUUGUAAACUGCUUUUAUAAGCGAGAAAUAUGAUGGUAACUUAUGAAUAAGGAUCGGCUAACUACGUGCAAGCAGCCGCGGUCAUACGUAGGAUCCGAGCAUUAUCCGGAGUGACUGGGUGUAAAGAGUUGCGUAGGCGGCAUAAUAAGUAGCUAGUGAAAUCUGGUGGCUCAACCAUUCAGACUAUUAGCUAAACUGUUAAGCUCGCGACCGUUAGGGGUAACUGGAAUUUCUAGUGUAGGAGUGAAAGCCGUAGAUAUUAGAAGGAACACCAAUAGCGUAGGCAGGUUACUGGGACGGUUCUGACACUAAGGCACGAAAGCGUAGGGAGCAAACGGGAUUAGAUACCCUUGUAGUC